AUGAACGCUGGCGGCGUGCCUAAUACAUGCAAGUCGAGCGAACAGACGAGGAGCUUGCUCCUCUGACGUUAGCGGCGGACGGGUGAGUAACACGUGGAUAACCUACCUAUAAGACUGGGAUAACUUCGGGAAACCGGAGCUAGUACCGGAUAAUAUAUUGAACCGCAUGGUUCAAUAGUGAAAGACGGUUUUGCUGUCACUUAUAGAUGGAUCCGCGCCGCAUUAGCUAGUUGGUAAGGUAACGGCUUACCAAGGCAACGAUGCGUAGCCGACCUGAGAGGGUGAUCGGCCACACUGGAACUGAGACACGGUCCAGACUCCUACGGGAGGCAGCAGUAGGGAAUCUUCCGCAAUGGGCGAAAGCUUGACGGAGCAACGCCGCGUGAGUGAUGAAGGUCUUCGGAUCGUAAAACUCUGUUAUUAGGGAAGAACAAAUGUGUAAGUAACUAUGCACGUCUUGACGGUACCUAAUCAGAAAGCCACGGCUAACUACGUG
rnacentral:rRNA from 1 species